UACAUGUUUGUCAUUUGACUCUGAAGAUGACUACCGCUAAGGAUUUGCAAAAUAUCCUUACCAAGGAAUUUAUCUCUAUUAUGACAGAGGAAUCCAAACAACCAUAUCAUCAUAAUCAAGUAGUUCUCACUUUAUACUUUAUACCACUAGUCGUGCUUUUAAUGUGUUAUAUAAAAUAACAAUAUGCUUUAUAAUUGCUUAUGCAUGAAACACUGUGUAAAAACUUAUUAAUUAAAUGAUAUUUU